rnacentral:rRNA from 1 species
AGAGUUUGAUCAUGGCUCAGAUUGAACGCUGGCGGCAGGCUUAACACAUGCAAGUCGAACGGUAACAGGAAGAAGCUUGCUUUUUUGCUGACGAGUGGCGGACGGGUGAGUAAUGCUUGGGAAUCUGGCUCAUGGAGGGGGAUAACUACGGGAAACUGUAGCUAAUACCGCGUAGUAUCGGAAGAUGAAAGUGUGGGACCGCAAGGCCACAUGCCAUGAGAUGAGCCCAAGUGGGAUUAGGUAGUUGGUUAGGUAAAGGCUGACCAAGCCGACGAUCUCUAGCUGGUCUGAGAGGAUGACCAGCCACACUGGAACUGAGACACGGUCCAGACUCCUACGGGAGGCAGCAGUGGGGAAUAUUGCACAAUGGGGGAAACCCUGAUGCAGCCAUGCCGCGUGAAUGAAGAAGGCCUUCGGGUUGUAAAGUUCUUUCGGUGAUGAGGAAGGUGUUUGUUUUAAUAGGACAAGCAAUUGACGUUAGUCACAGAAGAAGCACCGGCUAACUCCGUGCCAGCAGCCGCGGUAAUACGGAGGGUGCGAGCGUUAAUCGGAAUAACUGGGCGUAAAGGGCACGCAGGCGGUGACUUAAGUGAGAUGUGAAAGCCCCGAGCUUAACUUGGGAAUUGCAUUUCAUACUGGGUCGCUAGAGUACUUUAGGGAGGGGUAGAAUUCCACGUGUAGCGGUGAAAUGCGUAGAGAUGUGGAGGAAUACCGAAGGCGAAGGCAGCCCCUUGGGAAUGUACUGACGCUCAUGUGCGAAAGCGUGGGGAGCAAACAGGAUUAGAUACCCUGGUAGUCCACGCUGUAAACGCUGUCGAUUUGGGGAUUGGGUUUUAUGCUUGGUGCCCGUAGCUAACGUGAUAAAUCGACCG